rnacentral:SRP_RNA from 1 species
UUUUCAGACCUGUGCAAUGGUUCUGAGAGACAACGGGUCAGGAUGGGAACAUAGCAGCCCACCUCUCUUUACUGUGUGCCGCAGUAAUCUGGGAAGAG